UACGUAGGGUGCGAGCGUUGUCCGGAAUUAUUGGGCGUAAAGAGCUCGUAGGCGGUGUGUCACGUCGGCCGUGAAAACCUGCGGCUCAACUGCAGGCUGGCGGUCGAUACGGGCAGGCUGGAGUUCGGUAGGGGAGACUGGAAUUCCUGGUGUAGCGGUGAAAUGCGCAGAUAUCAGGAGGAACACCGGUGGCGAAGGCGGAUCUCUGGGCCAUUACUGACGCUGAGGAGCGAAAGCGUGGGGAGCGAACAGG
rnacentral:rRNA from 1 species